ACUUAGCUGCUGAAGAAGGAGAGUCGCAUUCAGCCAGGGAUCACUGAGCAUUCAAAAGUCCAUCUGAGACCUGCUUUCAUUGCACUGCCUCGUGAGGAGCUGUAGGAGAAGAUAUCAUAACUAUUCCCCACUUCUAAUUGUUAGAAGCAACAGCUGUCUAUCAAGAACAAUCUGAGGAUUGUGCACAAAUUGAUUUGGUUCUAUCAAGUGCUGGCUUUCGAUUCCAGUCUGACUUCACUACCACAGGAGCUUCUUGCUCAGGCUUCUGUUCCGGCUCCAUUCUCUCCCUGCCAUUAUAAUGCCAUCCACUGCAGCACCAUCUCUUCAAUCAGAAAACAUUCAUGAUCUCAUUCCACCUGAAGCCAGUGCCUCUGUAAUGUGUAGCAGAAUCCUAUGGAGAAGUUGUAAAAACACAAAAUGUUGGCCCCACCCCAAGAGUUUCUGAUUUUGCAGGUCUGGAGAGGGCCUGUGAUACGUACUUCUAACAAGCUCCCAGGCGAUGCUAAUGUUGCUGGUCUAGAAACACACUUUGAGAGCCACUGUUUUACAAUGUAUUCACCCAGCUUAUGCAAUCAACUACUAUCACAGCAAAGUCCAAAGAAUGCUCCUUAUUUGUUUGUUAUACUGGAGUUUGGCUUGGCUAAAUAUUAUUUGAAACU
rnacentral:lncRNA from 1 species